GUUACUAUUUAUGGAAAUCAACUAUAAAAGGAAGGGUAAGUUUCCAUUUUGGGGGGGAUAGUUAUGCUUUAUAAACAAAAGUUACUAUUUAUGGAAAUCUACUAUAAAAGGAAUGGUAAGUUUCCAUUUCGGGGGAUUCCUUUUCUGAAAAUUCAACACUAAUUGCCACAUGUUGCGACCUCAUUCGUCCUAAGUCACUAAUCUGUCCAUGUCAUUAAAGUUUUAUUUUUUUUCCACCAUUUCAAAACUUUAAAAAUGCAUAGAAAAUAGCUCCAGUGUCGGAAAAAUUCACCGAAAAAUGUCACGGACCACUGGCGGGACCCACUUCACAACUACGUCUGAAUUUUAGUCAUUGGAAUCACAACGUACCUACUAAUGUGGUAUAACUUGUUUGGUAGGUUAUAUGCUAGUGUACAACUUUGUAAACCAACUAUAUAGAGGAAGCAAAAUUUUCAAAAAUCUCGUGAAAUAUGAUGUGAUCGGUAUAGUAAAAUACAGCUACGGUAGAAAAAUCACUUUAAUUCGCCAAUGUUUGGGCCCCGAUAGAAGCGGUCAACCUUAUUUACGCUUAUGCUUCACUAAGGAGAGCCCUAUCCUCGGGUGGUAAAUGGCCCCAAAGUUUUACAUGGGUGGUUAUGUCUCAUCUAUGUGACACUUUAUUGUGUUGAAGAAUCCACCAAACUAGGUCACGAAGAGGUAGGUAAGAUAGUUUUCGUCUUAUGUGUCUUAUGUUAAAUGUAGACUUUUCAUUUUUUAUCUUGGUUUGCUUCAAUCUCAAGAACAAUUUAGAUUUCCAGAAAGUCUACUUUUCUUUGAUUUCUCUUAUGUUAAUGGUAGCCAUUUCUUAUGAAAAAAGUUGUUGUGCCAAAUGUUAAAUGUAGACUUUGCAUUUUUUACCUUGGUUAAUUUGCUUCAAUCUCAAGAACAAUUUAGAUUUCCAGAAAUUCUACUUUUCUUUGAUUUCUCUUAUGUUAAUGGUAUAAAUUUCUUAUGAAAAAAGUAGUUAUGUCUUAUGUUAAAUGUAGACUUUUCAUCGUUUACCUUGGUUUGCUUCAAUCUCAAGAACAAUUUAGAUUUCCAGAAAGUCUAAUUUCUUUGAUUUCUCUUGUGUUAAUGGUAGCCAUUUUUUAUGAAAAAAGUAGUUGUGUCUUAUGUUAAAUGUAGACUUUGCAUCUUUUACCUUGGGUUGCUUUAAUCUCAAGAACAAUUUAGAUUUCCA
rnacentral:lncRNA from 1 species